AAACUUCUUGCCCAUUCUCCACAAAGGGCACCUUCCUCAUCUCAUGGGUUAAAUGUAGUUUCAUUCAGACUCAUAAGCCCGAAAUUUCUUUUAGUAGAAAUAGAGAAAUCCAGGAUAGGCAGAGCUACACAGAGAAACCCUGCCACCCACCCCCCCCCCCAAACAAAACAAAACAAAUAAAACCAAAGAAACAAAACGAAAUAGAAUAGGCACGGGUGCUGCGUGAUGCUGCCCACAGGAGCCGCAGUUUUAAGUUACAGUGACUCACAGGAAGGUUUAUGUUGUACAGAAUUCUGUCCUUGGUGAUGGGCUGCCAUUGCCUAUGCCUGGACUGUUCUGCCCGUGGAUCUGCCUGGCGUGGGGUACUUCCAGAUGCCGCCCGUGAUGAUGAUUCCUGGGAAUUUGGCAAUAACAAAAGGGUUGCAAAAACACAGCUCUAGAAAUGAACCACGAGAGUCCAGGGUGGUGUGCUCCAACUGCUGCCACGCACAAGCAGACCAGCUAUGUGACGAACAAACAGAUGUCUUGGAGUGACAGUGGCUGUCCUGCUGUGUCUUCUCGGAGAUCAAGCCAUCCAUGAGAAAAGCCAGCAUGAAAUUCUCCACAGUGGUUACUGGAACUCCUUCAGGAGGAAUGAGGCUGCAGAGGUCAAGUAAUGUGCCAGAGCUUCCAGUAUCUCAAGCCACCAGUGUGGAGCCACUCAUGCUAGCUUUUUCAAAUCCUGUGAAAAACGAUCAGCACUUACUUCCCUUGGCUAUAGUACCAACUGGGACCCCCACAGCCAUGCCUGGACUGCUCUUCUAUCUAACGUGGGAGCCGACUUUCUAACAGCUGGAAGAAAAAGCUGCAAAAGAGAGAGAUAGGCAAGGCCCCAAGAAACAACACAUGGAAGGCCUUGUCAAUCAAACUUGUAGAGGGUUUUUCACAGGCCCCUCUGAAUGUCUCCAAUUAGGCUGGAGGAAGAGGAAACUGAUCAGUUGCUUCUCCCAACACAACAGAAGCGUACCCCAAGAAAGACCACAGAUACAGCAGACUGCUAAGAAGAGGACAGAAAUUAGCGGGUAAUUUCUAGAAGAACUUACAUGAAAGUGCCCAGAUGAAAUCACAUGUAAGUACAAUGGGUGGCUUUUCCUUCUGAUCUCUCUCCCCUUACACACUAAACGCACCUGCAUACACCCACAAAAAGGUUCACAUUUAGACUCUAGUCACUGCCACCUAUUAAAGCCAACUGAAAAUUAGCAGGAGGUACUUCUAAAAUGAUUAUCAUAUUUAAUGAAAAGAAAGAUCAUACUUGUGAUUCAUUAUUAAUUCAGAUUUUCCAUGAGUUGGAAUCUGGGAUGUUCACAGUAUUUUCAGCCUCCACCCUAUGCCAAUAAAUUACUGCAGUAUUUAUAGUUAUAUUUGUAUUUAAGAGAUUGUUUGGGCUGGUGAGAUGAUCUUUGAUAAAGGCCAUAACCACCAAGCCUGGUGUCCUAAGUUCAGUUCCUGGGACCCACAUGGUAGAAGGAAAAAGUUGACUCCCACAAGUUUCCCUCCAACUUCUGCAUGCACACAAUAACAGCACAUGUGUGCACAGGCACAAAUCUUCACAGAGACAAUAGCAGCACAUGUGUGCACAGGCACACAUGUCUUUACACAAUGCCCACAUGUCUUCAUACACAGUAGUUAAAUACAUAAAUACAUAAGUGUAAUAACAAUUUUAAUGAAAUAAAAUACUGCUGGCUCUGUGGCUUUUGGUGCUAAGUUUCUUCUCUGAAUAGACUUAUCUGUCACAUAGCCAACAAUGAUGUUUAAGCUGAUGAAUUCCUUGUGCAUCUGUCUCUAUGUAGAUGAAGAUCACUGCUAGCACUGAAGAUGAGAAGCCCAGGUCCCAAGAAGAAUAGAAACAUAUAAAUCUUAAUUUAUUCCUAAAAAGAAAUUAAAGGAAAGGCUCAAGGCAGGAGAAAAGAGGGGAAGUGGAGGAAGGGAAGGACAGAGGGAUGGAGGGAGGGGUCAAUAGUCUCCAGAGAGCAUGGGGAUGUUGUCCACUAAAGUGACCUUCACCCUUUAUACAAACCCUCCACCCACAGCUUGUGUGGUGGCUCCUUCCACUCUCUAACAGUUAUUUCCUGGGUUUUUCAGCUGAAGCACCUCUUCCUGUAGCUGACCCACUAUUUCAUAUCUCAGUCUUCAAGCAUUUAGUCACAUCUCAUACUUGAAGUGUGCCCAUCUGUCUUGUCUUCACUAUGUCUGAAGCUAGAAUGUUCUGUUCCAUUAUCUACUCCCUCCCACCCUUAAUCGUGAGUCCAGCUGUCUGUCUGAAACAACGCAGCAAGAAGUCGAGGAUACCAAUUGGUAAGCCGAUCAUCUUCAGCCCAGGGACAUUCUGAUACCUCCAGUUACAAGAGGAAAUAUGUGUGUUUCCUUUCUAAGAGCUGAAGGUUCCGUUCAUAACUCUAUGUUUUAUUAACCAAUUGCUUUUAAUUAUUUAUUAACCAAACGCAUUUAAUGGUACAAUCCAUGUUUUCACUAUGUAAUAUACUAGCUCAGCAUUCAUUCAUUUAUUAUUCAUUUAUUAUUUAUUUAACUAGUGCGUGCGUGGAGACGUGUGUGCACGUGAGCAUGUGCUGCAACUUAAGUGCGUGUCCACUUUAGUAUCAUGGGAGAGGUUAAUGCUACAACAGAAAAAAGGAUAGCAGAGAAUUUGUCCACGGAGAAUGAAUGCCGCUGUAUAGGAUGUGGGGGUGGAGAUGGCUAGAUUAAUAAAGCAAUAUUAGAAGUAACCUGGUCUUGGCUGUUCUCUAUAGUACCUCAUUGUAGUCUCCCCUCCCCCAGCCUGAAACCUGCUUGCUCUGGGGUGGAGCUUCCUGCUCAUUCGUUCUGCCACACCCACUGCUGGAACCUGCCGCCUUGCUUUUCCGAAGCCAUCACGUGCUCACCCUGCUACUGGACUCCGAGAUUAUUUGGCGGGAAUCAGGUCCCCUCCCCCUUCCUUCAUAACUGAGUGUUGCAACAGUAAAAAUUGAGCUUUGAUCAGAGUGACUUUUGACUUGGCUUCGUUCUUUCUUCCGCCCGUCUAGUUCUUCUCUUUCAGCCCGAGUUGCCAUCUCAGUUGA